UGCAAGACCCAAUAACAGGUGAAGGGGCACGGAGGUGGCCCCGAAGGGGAGUUAGGAAAAGCAAAAGGGCCCGGGUGCGGGGCUGGCAGAGCUCGCACAGCCGAGUUGCAGCGCCCCGUUCUAACUUUUCCUAACUUGCCCCGGCUGAGAAGACGUUCGGCUUGCUACAGCCACCGGAAGCGGCGAAACACUCAGCACGUCUGGAGGCAGUAAACCAGCAUCAGUCCCUUAAACCCAGUGAUGGCUGAUGGAUAUGGACAGAUGGGACAGUGUCCACCUAUGAUCACCUCUCUCUCUCCCUCUCUCUCUGCAUUGUAUAAGUUUGGUUACACCAAAUGCCAGAUUUCCUGUCCCAGAAGUGCACAGAAUGGGUUUAUGUGAGAAGAGGUUGAAUAUAUACUCUGCACCAUUUCUAAACGGCAGUACCUCCUUAGAAGCCAUCACCAUCUCUACCCUGUUUUCAAAAAAGAGAAAUUUAAGUUUGCUUGGUAAAUGUCUACAUUCAAACAGCUGGCCUCCUUUUCUUGACUCUUACAACUGAACCUGAUGAGACACCAGCUAGAAGAAAUCAGACCUUCAAUUCCAGAAUCUGAGAACUAGAAGAAAAAGAGGAAGGAGGGAAGGAGGAGGACAGCUACAAGUAUGCCAUAAUAUUUCUGAGCAACUGCAGUUAUUUAUAUUAAUGCUUUCCUUCAUAUAUAUAGGUAAUUUCCCCAUACAUUAGCUAAUGGUGCCAUCUUAUGGUCGCUUCCUACCACUGUUUCAUGUCUUUUAAGGGUUUCAAAGGUAUCUUCUUGGUGACUUUAAAGAUUUAUGUAAAGACAUUAGAUAGAACCUUAAUAUAGACAUUAUAAGAACAGAAUGUUUAAGGAGAAUUGGGAUCAAUUGUGUGUUAAAGUUGUAUAUGACCUUCUUGACUAUAUCCCACUAUUUGUAGUCUAUUAAGGACUUCAGGGCUUUGUUUUUUGUUUUGGGGGGAGGGGGUUGACUAAAAUAAUUAUAAUGCAACAUUUGAAGGGGAAAUCUGCACUUGAUUUGCAGCAAUAGAUUGUUGAUAUAUGUCAUCUGGAGGGGUGGGGGGGAAAGGUGGCAUCCUUUCCUUUCAGACAAAGGGGCAAGAAAGAUUUUCAAACUUUUCAAAAAUCUGUUUAUAACAUUUUCAUGGUGUAAGGAGGGAGCAGAAGCCAGAACGUAAUGUUUUUUCAGAUAUGGCUCUGCUAUUAUAGAAUAGUCUCCCCUUAGACAUCAGUUUAGCACUAAGCAUGCUGGCCUUCUGAAAAGCAGUGAACACUGAGUUGUUCCCAGAGGACUUCAGAGAGUAAUUUUGGACGUAGCAGUGUAAUAACAUGGACUUUAAUUGUUUAUAUUAAUUGUUUUAUUGUGUGUUACUUAUUGUGGAUAUUUUAUUGUAUAUAUCCUAUCAUGGAUGUUUUAUUGUUUAUAUUUUGGGCUUAUCUGGACUGCUUGUAUGUUCCUUCACCAGAAUGGGCCAGCGACCAUUUUUGGAGGGCAAGAACAGACAAGAGCUUCUCCCCCUCCAGGAGUGUUUUUCUGCUGUAGUUUCAAAGUAUUCUUUUUCCCCUUAUGUCACCUUGACUGCUUUUGUCUGUUUUAGCUGGUGCACUUUAUGGGUAGUCCUCACUUAACAACCAUUUGUUCAGCAACCAUUCUAAGUUACAACAGUGCUGAAUGAA